rnacentral:rRNA from 1 species
UGGAUCCAGACUUUGAUCCUGGCUCAGGAUGAACGCUGGCGGCGUGCCUAACACAUGCAAGUCGAACGAAGCUUGACGGAUGAUUUCUUCGGAAUGAAACCUGAUAUGACUUAGUGGCGGACGGGUGAGUAACACGUGAGCAACCUGCCUUUCAGAGGGGGAUAACGGCUGGAAACGGUCGCUAAUACCGCAUGAUGUGUUCGGAUGGCAUCAUUUGAACAUCAAAGAUUUAUCGCUGAAAGAUGGGCUCGCGUCUGAUUAGAUAGUUGGUGGGGUAACGGCCUACCAAAGUCGACGAUCAGUAGCCGGACUGAGAGGUUGAACGGCCACAUUGGGACUGAGAUACGGCCCAGACUCCUACGGGAGGCAGCAGUGGGGAAUAUUGCACAAUGGGGGAAACCCUGAUGCAGCAACGCCGCGUGAAGGAUGACGGUUUUCGGAUUGUAAACUUCUUUUCUUAGUGACGAAGACAGUGACGGUAGCUAAGGAAUAAGCAUCGGCUAACUACGUGCCAGCAGCCGCGGUAAUACGUAGGAUGCAAGCGUUAUCCGGAUUUACUGGGUGUAAAGGGAGCGCAGGCGGGACUGCAAGUUGGAUGCGAAAUACCGUGGCUUAACCACGGAACUGCAUCCAAAACUGUAGUUCUUGAGUGAAGUAGAGGCAAGCGGAAUUCCGAGUGUAGCGGUGAAAUGCGUAGAUAUUCGGAGGAACACCAGUGGCGAAGGCGGCUUGCUGGGCUUUGACUGACGCUGAGGCUCGAAAGUGUGGGGAGCAGACAGGAUUAGAUACCCUGGUAGUCCACACUGUAAACGAUGAUAGCUAGGUGUGGGGGGUUUGACCCCUUCAGUGCCGCAGUUAACACAAUAAGUAAUCCACCUGGGGAGUACGACCGCAAGGUUGCAACUCAAAUGAAUUGACGGA